GGGGCAUCGGCAAGCAGGGCCUGCAGUGCAUGGUUUGCAGUUUCGUGGUUCACAAACGCUGCCACGAAUUCGUCACCUUCGAAUGUCCCGGGGCCGGGAAGGGACCCCAGACUGACGACCCCCGGAACAAGCACAAGUUCAAGGUGCACAGCUACAGCAGCCCCACCUUCUGCGACCACUGCGGCUCCCUGCUCUACGGCCUCGUGCACCAGGGCAUGAAGUGCUCCUG